UGAUGUAAGUGUCAAAAGUAUAAAAAGUCGUUUCUGCUUGCAGAAAAAGACUUUUUUACUUGGGACACGCUAAACACCGAAAACGGAAUAAAAUGUCGUGAAUACGGCAUUUUAUGAAAGUUUGAGGUGUUUAAGGAUUGCGUGAAUUGCAUAGUAAUGUAGCAAUCCUGAUACAUCA
rfam:Eubacterium sp. CAG:252 genomic scaffold, scf57